GUGCUCGCUUCAGCAGCACAUAUACUAAAAUUGGAAUGAUACAGAGAAGAUUAGCAUGGCCCCUGCUCAAGGAUGACACGCAAAAUAGGAUAUUACUUAAGAAGGAUU